rnacentral:rRNA from 1 species
UACGGAGGGGGCUAGCGUUGUUCGGAAUUAUUGGGCGUAAAGAGCUCGUAGGCGGUUUGUCGCGUCUGCCGUGAAAGUCCGGGGCUCAACUCCGGAUCUGCGGUGGGUACGGGCAGACUAGAGUGAUGUAGGGGAGACUGGAAUUCCUGGUGUAGCGGUGAAAUGCGCAGAUAUCAGGAGGAAUACCGAUGGCGAAGGCAGGUCUCUGGGCUGUUCUUGACGCUGAGGCGCGAAAGCUAGGGGAGCAAACGGG